UACUCCAUCCUCCACGGUCCAAGACGUGAAACUUAUAUACCUUUUGCGUAUAUUUUCUCGUCCUAUAAACAAACCUCUUAGGUCGCUCGCUUCUCUCUCGUUCCAACGCGUCGCGAACAUGCCACCAGCACGAGAGCUUCCAGGGUUCUAUUUUGACACAGAGAAGAACCGGUAUUUCCCAAUCAAAGGCCCCAUUCCCGGCUCUUCUUCUUCUAAGAACAAAACCACUAUUCCAAAGCCUUCCCAAACCUCUUCCUCUCAGUUACAGGAAAGGAAUAGGAGUUGUUGUAGGAAGCUUAGUAACAGAACAUCUAAGCUGCUUCAGAUUAGGGAGCUAGAUGGUCGUCAUGUCAAUGCCUCACACUAUUGCAAGUGUAACUUCACUGAUGAAUUCCGGAAAAUACAAGCAUCUCAACCUGCCGUUUGGAAGUAUCAAGGAACUGAUAGGUUAGGUAUUAGUGCUUUGAAACACUUAAAUGUUGAUGUGCAGACAGUAGAGGGUAGAUUUAGAACCGAUGUUUUAUUGACUGGCAGCAUAAAUGGCUCGCUGAGUUUUUCUGAAGUUGGAAGGAUUGGGCAAAAUUUUGAUGACGGGGUAAAGUGGAUGCCGGUUUGUGUGAAGAAUCAUAUUAAAGGGAAUACAGAUGUGCCUAGCAAGGUGCCAGGUCCGCUUUUCAGACCAAAUGGAGCUUCCCUGCUUAUGUCCUCCAGAAUAUCUUGUUUAAGAUUGGGUCCUAAUUUAUCUCCUCAUGCUGUGAAUGACAGUCCAAUUGUUGGAAAUGCAUUAUUUACUACACUGGGAUCAGAAACAUCAGGCGGAUCUGUUUAUACCCUCAGUCUUGUUGAGCCAAUAGAUCUUGGAUCGGGAAUACUGAACACAUGGAGCAGACUAGAGGAAGUUGCUUCUUUCAAGGGUACCCUUUGGACAGCUGAAUACGACUAUACUAGACAUCGGGCAAUAGUUGGAACUAAUAUGGGAGGUGCUUCGGUGGAUCUGGAAACUGGGACAAGGUCAUGGUUUUUACGUUGUAAAAGUGAUGUUUUUGCAGAACAGAUUGUUGAUUCAGGAAAUGUGAUUUUAUGUGGACUCAGAAAUGGGGCAGUUGUCUCCGUAGAUUUUCGAGAGAAAAGAUUGCAUUCUGGUAGACUUCCUCAGCAUAGGAUAUCUUAUGUAUCUUCAGAUAAGAAAGUUGGAAGUUCUAAUAAAGAUUGGUUAAAGCUUUCCGGAAACAUAUAUCCUUCACAUACCAUUAAGAUGCCUUCAUCUAUAUCCUGUUUGGCAUCACUUCAGUUUGAUGAUCAGUACUUCUUGGCAAGCUCCAUGGAUGGAUCGAUAAGGCUAUACGACCGUCGCAUACUCCAGAGGGGUGCUGUUCAAUCUUAUGAAGGGCACAUGAAUUCCCAUACUCAAAUACAACUCGGUGUUGAUCCAGAUGAGAGAUAUGUUAUGUCAGGUGGAGAGGAUUGCAAGCUACGGUUAUGGAGUAUCAAGUCUGGCGAAUUGCUUUUGGAGGAUAAGUUCUCUAAUACAGUUCUGUCCACUGUGUGCUAUCAAACAUUUAAAAAAUUUAAAGCAGAGGAAGAAAAUCAAUACACACGUGACUCUUCUUUGGGUGCAUGGCUUGGAUCACAUGAAGGACUAUUUUAUAUGCACUGGUUAUGAGUGUGAAAGGUCCUCUGAUACUAUAGUGCUUGUAGCUGCUGCUGGUCUUAGCAUGAGCGCUAGAACUUUGAUAUAGCAAGUAGCAGAGACGAUAAAUUACUUCAUAGAAGUAAUUAUACUAGUUUUUAGACAUGCACACA